rnacentral:rRNA from 1 species
UGGGGAAUUUUGGACAAUGGGCGCAAGCCUGAUCCAGCCAUGCCGCGUGCAGGAUGAAGGCCUUCGGGUUGUAAACUGCUCUCGUACGGAACGAAAAGACUCCCUCUAAUAAAGGGGGUCCAUGACGGUACCGUAAGAAUAAGCACCGUCUAACUACGUGCCAGCAGCCGCGGCAAUACGUAGGGUGCGAGCGUUAAUCGGAAUUACUGGGCGUAAAGCGUGCGCAGGCGGCUAUAUAAGACAGAUGUGAAAUCCCCGGGCUCAACCUGGGAACUGCAUUUGUGACUAUAUGGCUUGAGUACGGCAGAGGUGAAUGGAAUUCCGCAUGUAGCAGUGAAAUGCGUAGAUAUGAGGAGGAACACCGAUGGCGAAGGCAAUCCCCUAGGCCUGUACUGACACUCAUGCACGAAAGCGUGGGGAGCAAACA